ensembl:lncRNA
AGUGGAACUGAGGGUAUCUUACUGGAGAUUGCUGUCUACUAGAGAUGCUUUAAGGUGCAACCAUAUUAUUCAAGAGGAAUGAAGAACAGUAGCUGAUACAUCAGAUACAGAUUCAGCACACACUGCAAUAACUGAUACUCUGUAAGGCAUACCAGUCUGUAUCAACUACACAAACUGACAGCCGUUUCUCUAGCGGGGCCUCUCUGAGCUGUUGCCAAAGACUCUUGGUUAUAAAAAUGGGAAGAUGUUUUCUUGAAGUUGUUCAUGGUUUUGGCUUGUAUUUAUACUCUUAUAAACAAAAAAAUGGGUAGAAAUUUAAAUGUCAUAGUUAUAUAACUAUCAUGUUAAGGACUUAAUAAAUGUUAUUUUGUUGUUUCAUAUUGAUAUUUAAUAUAAUUAGAACUUACACAGUUGUUCUCCUUCUGCCUAGUGGCAUUUGAUCUAAUCUAAU